UCUCUCGUAGAGGGUGUUUUAAAUAGCAUUUCCAGGAAAGGAAGGCUGGAAGGCUGCUGUCAACCACACUACACUGCUUAAAUCUCGUGGAGCCAUGAUGGUGUGUCAGGUUUUGCUAUGCCUAUCUUCUCUGCAACCCAAGAGAGGGAACAAAGAGCAGCCAGCAGGGGCAGAAUUCUCUCAGGACGACAGUGAGGUUAAAGAGUUCCAGAAAGUGCUAGUAGAACUUUAAGCACGCUAUCAUUAACAGACAGAAAAACAGACUACAACCUACUGGAUUCAUUUUGGAAAGUAGAAAAAAGGAAUCUGGUAAAAUCAGCCAAAGCAAGGACCUUUCCCCCUCCUUAGAACUUGCUAAGCUUUCCAUGUUGUGUGGGCCUUUUAGUUCCACUCAUUAUUCAGGUCUAAUUCAGGUCAUCAAAAUAGAAAUGCAUGGGACGGGUGACUGACAUGACUGCAUCGUGGUUUAGAUAUAUAGAUAACACGGGGAGGUGCUUUACAUUUUAAGACUUUGUUCAUAAUUCUUUUAUUUAUGGUUUCUCUGAAUCAUUCUUUUGGAACAUUCUAAAAGAGCCAGAGGAAAAAAAUGGAACUUUUUCUCAAGGGACUUGACUUAGUGGAUAGCUAAAUGUCCAGUUUCAAAAGCUUAUCCUUUUGAAAUACUUUU
rnacentral:lncRNA from 1 species